rnacentral:lncRNA from 1 species
UGUCCCCUUUGUUCUUGUACAAGGGCACCACUGUACUCCACCUCCACUCCUCCGGCAUCCUUUUAGUCCUGAAGAUUGCAUUGAACAGCCUAGAGAGUCACUCCCCUCCAGCUUUACACAUGCACUUCCAGAGCUCCACCGGGAUCUCGUCAGGCCCGGUCGCUCGACCCCUACUCAUCCUACGCAACGCCCCUAAGACCUCCUUCACCCUUAUGCGUCUU